UUGAGAUCCUUUUUUUCUGCGCGUAAUCUC
rnacentral:sRNA from 1 species